GCCUGGGUGGCGAAACUGGUAGACGCAAGGGACUUAAAAUCCCUCGGCCGCAAGGCUAUGCGGGUUCGAUCCCCGCCCCAGGCACCA
rnacentral:tRNA from 1 species